UACGAAGGGGGCUAGCGUUGCUCGGAUUCACUGGGCGUAAAGGGUGCGUAGGUGGUGAGGUAAGUCGGAUGUGAAAGCUCGGAGCUCAACUCCGAAAUGGCAUUGGAAACUACCUUGCUCGAGGGUUGGAGGGGGGACUGGAAUACUUGGUGUAGCAGUGAAAUGCGUAGAUAUCAGGAGGAACACCGGUGGCGAAGGCGGGUCUCUGGGCCGAUACUGACGCUGAGGAGCGAAAGCGUGGGGAGCGAACAGG
rnacentral:rRNA from 1 species